rnacentral:rRNA from 1 species
GAGGAAGUAAAAGUCGUAACAAGGUCUCCGUUGGUGAACCAGCGGAGGGAU